ACACACACAUACACACCUACAUGGCAUCGAAACCUCGUACUUCCCGAAAGAGUGUCUCGGGUAUCAUGCUCCCUAAAAAUAAGAAAGAGCGGAA
rnacentral:ribozyme from 1 species